AACUUCUCAGGAUUGCGUCUGGAGAAUGGCUAAUAUUCUGCCAGCUUUGGAGACAGGAGACAAAACAAGCCUGGCAGAGGUAUGCAUUCCAUUCCCCACUUGCUCCGGAGCUGGUGAUUGGAAGACACUCUGCAACGAUG